GUAAUGCUAAAAUUGAAAGAAAAAAAUUGUUUUCGACUUGUCGCGAAAAAAAUAGAUUGUUUUUCGCCGCAGGCGAAAAAAAAAAUUUGUCCAGAAAAAAAAACCAUAGCCCCCCCCAGAAAAUCAAAUGGUUGCUGCCUAAGAGUCUGAAGAGAAGUGAAUGGAUCUCUAUGAAAUUUCACCAUUAGGUUCAAUACCACAAAAGGAAGG
rnacentral:lncRNA from 1 species